AGAAGAACGGAACAGGACAGAGAGUG
rnacentral:piRNA from 1 species